rnacentral:rRNA from 1 species
GUAGGGAAUCUUCCACAAUGGGCGAAAGCCUGAUGGAGCAACGCCGCGUGAGUGAAGAAGGUUUUCGGAUCGUAAAACUCUGUUGUAAGGGAAGAACAAGUACAGUAGUAACUGGCUGUACCUUGACGGUACCUUAUUAGAAAGCCACGGCUAACUACGUGCCAGCAGCCGCGGUAAUACGUAGGUGGCAAGCGUUGUCCGGAAUUAUUGGGCGUAAAGCGCGCGCAGGCGGUCCUUUAAGUCUGAUGUGAAAGCCCACGGCUCAACCGUGGAGGGUCAUUGGAAACUGGAGGACUUGAGUGCAGAAGAGGAAAGUGGAAUUCCAAGUGUAGCGGUGAAAUGCGUAGAGAUUUGGAGGAACACCAGUGGCGAAGGCGACUUUCUGGUCUGUAACUGACGCUGAGGCGCGAAAGCGUGGGGAGCAAACAGGAUUAGAUACCCUGGUAGUCCACGCCGUAAACGAUGAGUGCUAAGUGUUAGGGGGUUUCCGCCCCUUAGUGCUGCAGCUAACGCAUUAAGCACUCCGCCUGGGGAGUACGGUCGCAAGAC